rnacentral:sRNA from 1 species
AGAGAUUGCAUGAGUGUCAGAAGAGACUUUGAAUUUUGGACUUUUAACACUAUUGAGACUGUUAGACCAUGGGAGCUUUUGAAGUUGAACUAAAUGUAUUUUGCAUUAUGUUAUGGCUAGGUAUGACCCCCAUAGACUCAUAUGUUUGAACAAGCCAGGAAGUGAUAUGGUUUAAAUAUGUUUGGUCCAGAGAGUGACUCUAUUAGGAGGUGUUGCCUUUUUGCUGGAAGUGGGCCACUGUGGGAGUGGGCAAUGAGACCCUCUCCUCCCUAGCUGUCUGAAGUUAGUCUCUCCUGUUUGCCUUCAAGAUACCAACAAGAUACCUAGAACUCUCAGCUCCUCCAAUGCCAUGCCUACUUGGAUGCUGCCAUGCUUCCCACCAUGAUGAUAAUAGACUGAAGACAAACUAAGACAAGCAGGGAAGGUUUGCUCCUGACUGAGAAGCCAUGGUCAGCUGACAGUGUUGCAAGGAGGAGGAGUCGGUCUUAUUUAUGAGUAUAGCCUCUAGCAGCCAUCUAAAGUGGCCUGGGAUGGAAGGUCUGCAGCGUUGCCACAUGUAUGAGCCAGUGGACCCACAGUGAAGAGGGUGAAUGAGUUCCGUGGAGGUUCAGACACAUCUGUGGCCAUCAGAAGGAGCAAAACUAAGAAACCGAAAGGAGCCUUUGCUUCAGGUCCUGGUGUUCAUUCUGUUCGUCUCAAUGAACACAAUCACGGGUCAAUCCAUGCUUCAAGUGUUCAGCAGCCAGUGUCGCCCACGACCUUCACCUCGGAGACAGAGCUCUAGACAAGAAUCUGACUCAAUAUUCGUCGUAUGAGCAAUCUUUAAGGUAUUGGAGACCAUGCUCCCUGGGUCUGCACAUCAUACAAGACCUGAAGAGAAUACAGGUGUUGAGCAGUUGGAUUUGGGUGCUGACAACUGGGACCGGUGACAUGAAUCCAUCAAGAGGACAGCUCAGCCAAGACCUAAGUUGUUUCCUACGAGACCUUUAAGAGGAGGGGGGCCUGGGUGCCUAUAGAGGGGAGAGUCAGCUGAUACCAUUUGAGCUUAAACACAAAACAAGUAAGAUAUGCAGCAGCAUAUGUCCUUGGUGACUUUUACUUUGGAUAUUUAGAGCAUGUUUUCAGGAGCCACUAGGGUGCUGAGACUACUCAAACCAAAGCUUGUAAGGUAGGGCCAGAAAAGUCAGAGCCUUCAACACGGAGAACGGAAACCCCAGCUUUCUGAAGCCAGGUAAGACUUCACUGUCAGAUAGCAUCAGCUUCACUCCGGUCACCAAAGAAAACAGCAUGGAGAUCCAUGGCCAGGAAUCCCGGGUGCUAGAUUUCCUGAAGUUAACGGAGGAGAACCCCAUACCCAGUCAGCCACAGUCAAGCAGAAGGGUUGUUUGGGUGAAAGAAAGCUUGUCACCCUGGGCAUUUAAGCAGAGUCCCCAUGAGCCUUGUGUGGGUGUGUAUCAGAUGGAAAGUCAGUCCCUUACAGCCCCAGCCUCCAUGUUCAAGAAGCCUAACUUGAACCAAAGCCGCAAUUCUCUUCCUUCCUCCUCCUGUCCCCUGGUUAGAUUGAAGGUUUGUACCCUGGGAUUGUAUAGGAGAGGCCAGCAACUCCUGAACAACUUGCUCCCAAUGUUGAGGUCCUGAUAUUCAAUGUCUAGUCAUCAAUUUAAGACAAAAAUGCAUGCACAGAACUCUAGGUGGGUACCUGACUCUUCACCAGGUUCCUCUCACCCAGAGGUUCUCAACCUGUGGGUCUCGACCCCUCUGGAGUCACAUGUCAGACAUUUUGUGUAUUAGUUAUUUAUAUCAUGAUUUAUAACUAGCAAAAUCACAGUUAAGAAGUAGCAGUGAAAUAAGUUCGUGGUUGGGGGUCACCACAACAUGAAGUAUCAAAGGCAUUAGGAAUGUUGAGAACUGCUGAUCUAACCAAAAUGACUAAAACUCUCUCUUUGGUUCCUUCCAAAAGCAUCAGUGACCAUCACUCAGGAUCAGUGCCAAUACCACCCGAUGAUGAGUCACUCUACACUUCAGAAAACCAAACCAGGCAACCUAAUGUUGAGAAGCACACUGGGAGAUCUAUGCUGUAUUAUUUUGCUGGCUCUCUCUCUCAUUCGGACUUCUUCCAAAGCUACAGGCAAGGUGUCAACAGACAGUGGCCUCUGGGUCCUUGAUGCU